UGUCUUGUAAUUGGAAUGAUGGUGACUUAAACCCUCACCAGAGUACCAAUUGGAGGGCAAGUCUGGUGCCAGCAGCCGCGGUAAUUCCAGCUCCAAUAGCGUAUAUUAAACUUGUUGCAGUUAAAAAGCUCGUAGUUGAAUUUCAGCGUUUCGCGUGUGCCUCUUUUGGCCCAUCUCGUCUCGCUUUUUUUAUUACUUUGAGAAAAUUAGAGUGUUUCAAGCAGGCUUUUGUCUUGAAUACUUGAGCAUGGAAUAAUAGAGUAGGACCUUGGUUCUAUUUUGUUGGUUUUGUUACCUUGGUAAUGGUUAAUAGGAACGGUUGGGGGCAUUCGUAUUUAACUGUCAGAGGUGAAAUUCUUAGAUUUGUUAAAGACGAACUACUGCGAAAGCAUUUGCCAAGGACGUUUCCAUUAAUCAAGAACGAAAGUUAGGGGAUCGAAGACGAUCAGAUACCGUCGUAGUCCUAACCAUAAACUAU
rnacentral:rRNA from 1 species